UUUCUGUAGGUGAACCUGCGGAAGGAUCAUUAUUGGAUUUUGAAGCUUCAGGCUGCUGCUGGCUCUCCUCGGAGGGCAUGUGCACGCUUGUUGUCCAUUAUUUCUCCCACUGUGCACAAGUUGUAGACCUUUCAGUAGGCCUAUGUUGUUUUUCACAAUCUCUGAACGUAAUAGAAUGGUUUUGAAUCUUGGGAAAUACAAUACAACUUUCAGCAACGGAUCUCUUGGCUCUC
rnacentral:misc_RNA from 1 species